GACGAACGCUGGCGGUGUGCUUAACACAUGCAAGUCGAACGGAUCACAUGAUUUCGGUUGUGUGGUGAGUGGCGAACGGGUGAGUAACACGUGAGUAACCUGCCCCCUUCUCUGGGAUAACUGUUGGAAACGGCGGCUAAUACCGGAUAUUCACUUUCUCUCGCAUGGGGGUUGGUGGAAAGUUUUUUCGGUGGGGGAUGGGCUCGCGGCCUAUCAGCUUGUUGGUGGGGUAGUGGCCUACCAAGGCUUUGACGGGUAGCCGGCCUGAGAGGGCGACCGGCCACACUGGGACUGAGAUACGGCCCAGACUCCUACGGGAGGCAGCAGUGGGGAAUAUUGCACAAUGGACGAAAGUCUGAUGCAGCAACGCCGCGUGCGGGAUGAAGGCCUUCGGGUUGUAAACCGCUUUCACCAGGGACGAAUGUGACGGUACCUGGAGAAGAAGCACCGGCUAACUACGUGCCAGUAGCCGCGGUAAAAGUCACGUCG
rnacentral:rRNA from 1 species